CUGGAGUGCUUAUAGCUAAGGUUUGAAACAAUACUCCUCAGUCCUGAACGGCAUGAGAUCAGCUUUCAGUCCCGGCAGAAGUGAACAAAACGUCUUCAGAGAGAGAACAACUCAUCAUUUGGUAGGUGAUGUCUGAUCAUCUGCAACAGGUAAGUGUUUUUGUCUUUAUCACCGGGCUCAUGAUCUGUUCCUCUGGAUUAGAGAAAUCAAAGAUUCUGCUUUUUUUAAUAUCCAAUAUAUUAAAUAUUCCCAACUUGUGUUUAACUGUGUCAUCGUCUUGGGUGUUAAGUAAAAGUGACGAAGCAGUUUCACUUUCAGUCUAUGUACUCCAGACAGUCACUUGCAGCCAGAUAGAGUGACAGAUUUAUAUAAUGUCUUGAAAGCGACAGUGAAGUCUUGUUUCACUUUUAAUAGGAGUGCUAAAAAAAAGGAGAAGCAUCUCGGCUUUGAAAACAAACAAGUUUGAGUUGAUGCUUUAAGAAGCAAAAUCUGUGAUCUUCCCUGGAGGAGAUCCAGCAUGGACGUUUAGUCUCUGUGUUUCUAUCAAAAGCACUGAUCUGACGUCGAUAACAGUAUGACAUAUAGGUCUUUUGCAAAGAGACACUUAAUCUCUGUCACUCUGUCUGUACCCACGGAUGAGUGUGAAGGAACAUGGUGAGUCUGAGAUUGAUUUCCAAGGCUCAACAUUCUUCAUUCAGCUAAAUUAUCUCGGGAAUAUGUCUCCUGAUGGGAUUCUCUCCUGCUGUCAUUUUCUCUCCUCAUGUUGCAUAAUGAGUGCCAGGUUACCACACCUGGAGGACCCCUGUGCUACACUGGUUGGGGCGCGUGUGUGUGUGUGUUCUGCUGAAGCCUCUCAUUGUGUGCACAGUCACUGAUCUCAUGUAAGGUCCAGACUAAUUAACAGCAGACUGGCAAGUCCCUCAAAUCCCACAGUACAUCAUCCCCGACUUCAAAUGCUGUGACACUCAUUUCCAUGUUUUGACAAUUCAGCUUCUGUAUUUUUUGAAGCUCUUGUCUUACAUAACCAUCACCGUGCUAGGACAGAAAUAUGGCUUUAUUAAUACAAGGGUGUCCUUCCGUGUUCUAGUUAGUUUCUGUUUCAAGUUGAAAGUCAAGGAAACACUUUUUUUCAGCGUUGUUGACUCAGCACACAAAGUGCUGAAAUGUUUACAUCAUAAACAGUGUAUGUAAAGGGGGUUAGAUUGUCUUAUCUCAUGGUUGGUGUCCUGUAGUGUGUUUCCUACAUUUGGCCAAAUGCCCAGAGAUUCACAUGGACCCUCAUCCUUACAGUGCCCUGCAGAUUUAUGUUAUAUAAGUGAUGACGAUUACCUGUCCACUCAUCUAAAGCCACUUUGCUCAGACUAACAUAAAGACUGAAGCUAAAGCCUAUACUUGAAAGUGGACCUAUCCACAGUAAGAUAACCAAUAAUUAUGUUACCCAUUGGCACAAAGUUUCAGAACCUCAGGUUUGGCUCUUUGGCCAUGACCACCUUAGUGUGUUGGAGGCAGAAGUGGUCAUAUUCAGUCAACGGCCGACUAUAGAGGAGGUCAAGUUCUCUGGGUCAAUUACCCAAGAUAAUGGGGACAGCUGUAAGUAUCCACUCUGAAAGCUGCAGUUUUUUUUAAUGCUUCAGUCCAUGAAAAAAGCUUCCUUGGCUCUGCUGAAAGGUAACAGGAUCCACCCAUUUUAAAAACUUGCCUCAGUCACAUCUUGUUGUUGUCAGACUCUAACAACAGCCACGGUGUGGGAGGGGCAAUAGUGACAUGUCCAACCUGCUUAUGCGUCUAUAAAUAUUCUUGCCCUUUCCACAUCCUCUUUCUUUGAGCCACAGUUAAACAUUCAGGGCAAUAAGACUUAACACUGUUUUUAAAGAGUUAAAUCAAAAGGUUGAUAUCUCUUGUAUGAAUUCCUAAAAACCAAAACCACUGCUGCAGCCAGGAUACCAAGCUCAGCAUGAGGACUCUAAACAGAGAGAAGUAGCUUCCUUGGCUCCAUCAAAAGUUAAUAACUCUGUGAUGUUAAUUCAUGAGCUGAUGCCAGGUUAGUUUUCCUUUUUCUUUCUAGUGUUACGUCUAGCAAAUCUAAAAAGCUGCUGGACAUGGUCCCUUACUCGGUUGGAGUAAGAUGUCACAGUAUUCAACAGGACACAAUACAGUACAAUAUAAUGCAAUAUGAUAAUGUGGUCAUAAUAAGACAUGAUAUGAUUCCAAAAUUUUGAAUCACUCUUUUAACUUCCAUGAGUCAUAAUCUCUUCAAAGAUGUUAUUUAGAGUCUGAAUUUUACACAAAUAAGCAAGAUUACCAUUGAGGAGAGGUUCUCGAAACGUAGUAAAAGAGGUUUAUUUCUACUUUUCAGUGAGAAAUGUGCCUUUUUUGGAAGGAAAACCUUCUAAAUUGGAUGAAGUUAACCCGAGGCGUCGCUUACUUACAUUUCCCUCACUUGCUGGUGUUAAAACAAAUCAAACUAUUCAGUUAAUACUUCAGGUAACCUAAUUUUUUUGUUCAGCUUUGCUUGAGUGAACAAGCCUCACUGUUAAUGUCACGCUGAAUACCUUUUAUCAGAAUCACUCCCUCUCUUUUUUCUCUUCUCUUCAGCUCUCAUGGCCAUGAUUGCACAUAUUCAUGGGGUUAUACCUUCCGUCAUUCAGCAUAAUUGCUUUGCUUGCCCUAGUUGUGAACUCACUUUGGCAUGCAAAGGAGCAUUCAGUCAUGAACAUGAAGCUGCAAGGAAAGACAUCCAACCUUCAGAAAGAGCUCCAGCUAAUAAAAUGUUCAAGUCACGGAUAAAUCCUCUUCUUUCAUGAAGCAAAAGUCUUGACUAACUUCAGCUGGCCAUACUUGACUGACUCACUCUUCCUCUGAAUUUUCUGCCUGAUGACUAAACAAAACAAUUGAAGAGAUGAAUGAUAAACUGAUG
rnacentral:lncRNA from 1 species